rnacentral:rRNA from 1 species
CGACGUGAGCAAUCUGCCUUUGGAUGGGGGAUAACAGCCGGAAACGACUGCUAAUACCGCAUGAUGCAGCGGGGUCGCAUGAUUUUGCUGCCAAAGAUUUAUCGUCCAAAGAUGAGCUCGCGUCUGAUUAGCCAGUUGGCGGGGUAACGGCCCACCAAAGCGACGAUCAGUAGCCGGACUGAGAGGUUGAACGGCCACAUUGGGACUGAGACACGGCCCAGACUCCUACGGAAGGCAGCAG